CCCAUCCCUCUUGUAGAAGUGCUCACUGGGAGUUCAGUGCUGAGUGCCUGGAGCUGAGCUCAUGUCAAAUUUCUGCGACUUCUUCUUACUGAAGACUGGAAAGGAUCCUUGGAAAUCCUCAAGCAUAACAAUGGAGACAGUGACCUUUGAGGAUGUAGCUGUGAAGUUCACCCCAGCAGAGUGGGACUUGCUGACUCCAUCCCAAAAGAAGCUCUACAGAAGAGUGAUGUGGGAAACAUAUAUGAAUAUUACUGCAACAAGAAGAAUAUGGAAUAAUCAGCAAAUUAAGGAAGAGGACAAAAAUUGCUCAAGUAGUAUAAGGUGACUGAAACACAUAAGAGAAAGGGGACAUUACUUAAUUGUCAGUGUGUGAGCAUAAACAUUACAACAAAGGAAUUGAAGAAAUGAAAUCAUGUUAUAGUUUAUUUAACCUCAGAAAAAUACCAAGAGAUAUACUUGAUUUUAUUUUGUAUUAUCUGGGAAUCCAUGGAAACAUAUUGAAAUAUAAGAAUCAGAGGUAAUUCUAAUGCUAUGUAGUAAAUAACACUAUCUAAUGUAUCAGUUCAAAAAUUGCCUUCAUGAUCAACAUCAUAUAAAUGUAUGAUAAUAAAUUAAAUAUUGUAUUCUGAUAUGUAGGAAAUGAACAAAUUGUGAAAGUUGAUAAAAACCCAUCUUCAAAAUACCAUUUAUGUAUACAUGUGAAUACUGAGACUUUCAUGAUCUAGAAUUAUUUUCACAUAGCAUCAGCAUUCAAAAUGAAAAUGAAUUCUACUGUUACAAUAAGUACUCUGAAAAUAUCCUAUAGAAUAUUGAGCUGUUCAUGUUUAAUAUUCCUCAUACAUUGUUGAUGGACACAUAAAAUACAAGCAUGGUAAUAAAUAUUCACUGGUCUGAAAAUUAAAACAACAUAUUUCAUAUUGGUUCACAUGUACAUCCACAGUGAUAUCCUUUUUUUAAAUCUUUUGAGCCAUGAUUUUAUACUGUAGUUCAGGUUGACUUUGAACUUACUGUGAAGCCCAUAAUGGCCUGAACCUCAGGGAAAUCCUCCUGCCUCUACCUCCUGACUGUUGAGUGGGUCGUACUGUGUCAUUAUGUGUAAUGAUUCUCUCAGUAUAUU